CGCAUCUUUAAUAGACGAAACUUGACCCUGCACUUGGGUGAAAAUCGAUCCCAUGUAGCGCCACGUCUACAACAAUUUUGGUCCAUUGGAUUCUCAAGCAACGGCUGGAGAAAAGCAAGCGUAUAUAGGUUAGCUUCCUGAACGCACGUAUUGGAGACAAUAAUCUUCCUGAACGUGCUUAGUACUCCAGCAAGGAAAUUCGCGACGCUUCCUCUUCUGAAUCGCUAGAAACUUCCCGAGCGGACGAGGAGCCGUGCCGACGGCAAGCCGGAACACAAGCUAAAUAUCUUCCGUUGCUCCGGUAUCCUUUUCCACCACAGUUCUUCCACAAAUCUCAGAUACACUUCGCCUUCCACAAGACCGCACUUCUAACGCACAACUUCUUGAAUUCACACAGAAGUUCCUUCCCCAUACGCUCGAUCUGAUAUACAAUACAAAGAGAAACACGAGGGCCCAGACGUUUGAUCUCAUCGCAGGUGACGCAGCCGACGGCCACGCCAACCCUGCCGUCUUCGUCGACGGGACCGGCGACGCCAACCUUCACAUUGUUGUGCCGACCGGCGACUGCCUCGUUCACGCCUCUCCGACGGCCACUUACCGAGAUCCGAAGUGAUCCUAGCUUCCUGUAACAGAUGGAUAUAGUGAAGCACAUGGUGGUGCAAUGGCUUGGGGGCUUUGCUACAACCAUGAAUUGAGCCCCAGUCAGAGCUACUCUCAUGAUUGCAAUGAGUACUAUGGCAGAGGCGCUAUUCCUGUUUACAGGUCAGACUGAUAUGUCACUUUGUUGAUAAUCUUGGAUCCGCUUGUUGAUGUUCACCAGGAAUCACAACUAUGGUAUCUCAUUACCAAUACUAUCUUGACUUGAUGGGAGUUGGCCCUGAGCACUCUGGACACAACUUGGAUUGUGGUGAUCAGGUGGCUUUCAAUCCAUCAUCAGAGAGUUCCGACUUCUAAGAAACUGUUUUAAAAAUCAGUGUGUCUAGGGCCGAGGGCCCACUAACUGGGUUCCCCAAGCUAUUGUGAUCAUGUCUUUGAAACAACAGUUGUUUGCCCUAUGGCAUAUAUAAUAUGUACUAUGAUGCUUAAUAUUUUACCACCGCA